rnacentral:rRNA from 1 species
UUGAACGCUGGCGGCAGGCCUAACACAUGCAAGUCGAGCGGAUGAAGGGAGCUUGCUCCUGGAUUCAGCGGCGGACGGGUGAGUAAUGCCUAGGAAUCUGCCUGGUAGUGGGGGAUAACGUCCGGAAACGGGCGCUAAUACCGCAUACGUCCUGAGGGAGAAAGUGGGGGAUCUUCGGACCUCACGCUAUCAGAUGAGCCUAGGUCGGAUUAGCUAGUUGGUGGGGUAAAGGCCUACCAAGGCGACGAUCCGUAACUGGUCUGAGAGGAUGAUCAGUCACACUGGAACUGAGACACGGUCCAGACUCCUACGGGAGGCAGCAGUGGGGAAUAUUGGACAAUGGGCGAAAGCCUGAUCCAGCCAUGCCGCGUGUGUGAAGAAGGUCUUCGGAUUGUAAAGCACUUUAAGUUGGGAGGAAGGGCAGUAAGUUAAUACCUUGCUGUUUUGACGUUACCAACAGAAUAAGCACCGGCUAACUACGUG